CCCUUAGAUGUCCUGGGCCGCACGCGCGCUACACUGAUGAAUUCAACGAGCACUAACCUGUGCCGAAAGGUUCGGGUAAUCUUGUGAAAUUUCAUCGUGAUGGGGAUUGAUUAUUGCAAUUUUUAAUCAUAAACGAGGAAUGCCUAGUAAGCGUGAGUCAUCAGCUCACGUUGAUUACGUCCCUGCUCUUUGUACACACCGCCCGUCGCUCCUACCGAUUGAAUGUGCCAGUGAAAAGUUAGGAUUGGGCGUGGGAGACGGCAACGUAUUCCACAUCCGAGAAAAUCUUUAAACUUUCCCAUUUAGAGGAAGGAGAAGUCGUAACA
rnacentral:rRNA from 1 species